AUUGAACGCUGGCGGCAUGCCUUACACAUGCAAGUCGAACGGCAGCACGGGAGCAAUCCUGGUGGCGAGUGGCGAACGGGUGAGUAAUAUAUCGGAACGUGCCCAGUCGUGGGGGAUAACGCAGCGAAAGCUGUGCUAAUACCGCAUACGAUCUACGAAUGAAAGCGGGGGAUCGCAAAACCUCGCGCGAUUGGAGCGGCCGAUAUCAGGUUAGCUAGUUGGUGGGGGAAAAGCCCACCAAGGCGACGAUCUGGAGCUGGUCUGAGAGGCCGACCAGCCACACUGGAACUGAGACACGGUCCAGACUCCUACGGGAGGCAGCAGUGGGGAAUUUUGGACAAUGGGCGCAAGCCUGAUCCAGCAAUGCCGCGUGCAGGAUGAAGGCCUUCGGGUUGUAAACUGCUUUUGUACGGAACGAAACGGCUCUUUCUAAUAAAGAGGGCUAAUGACGGUACCGUAAGAAUAAGCACCGGCUAACUACGUGCCAGCAGCCGCGGUAAGAC
rnacentral:rRNA from 1 species